UUCGUCAUAGGUUUUGGAGGCGUCCACGACUGUUAUACCAGGCACUAUAAUCAGAAGAGAAGCAAAUGUGGUCCAGUAGGCACGUUUCACAUCGAUAUGCGCGGAACAGGACUGAAGAUUGACGACGACCUUGAGUGGAUGCCUCAAGGACAGUAUUCGUAUGGAGAAUGGACCAGAGGCCAUGGAAAUGCCACCGUGGACAUCCUGGCAGGCGGCGAGUGCGGCGGACUGAAACCCAUCGGGCCCAUGCUUCUCAUGCUUAAUCCAAACGAUAUAUACUAAAGUUUUAAACGUCGAAGUCGGACAAUCGACAAAUGGCUUCCAGGUACAAGAAAAGUUCGUCAUCUGUUAAUCAUCAACAAAUAUAUGAAACGUGAAUCACACUUGAGAUUCGUUCAACAGUUUAACCAGGCGCCGAUCUAGGGAAGGCGCUGAGGGACGUGCCCACCCCUUUGUUUCGCCGACGUCAAAAUAC